rnacentral:rRNA from 1 species
AUGAUGUGGUUAAUUCGAUAGCAACGCGAAAACCUUACCACCUUUGACAUGUACGGAAUCCUUUAGAGAUAGAGGAGUGCUCGAAAGAGAGCCGUAACACAGGUGCUGCAUGGCUGUCGUCAGCUCGUGUCGUGAGAUGUUGGGUUAAGUCCCGCAACGAGCGCAACCCUUGUCAUUAGUUGCUACAUUCAGUUGGGCACUCUAAUGAGACUGCCGGUGACAAACCGGAGGAAGUGGGGAUGACGUCAAGUCCUCAUGGCCCUUAUAGGUGGGGCUACACACGUCAUACAAUGGAUGGUACAAAGGGUCGCCAACCCGCGAGGGGGAGCCAAUCCCAUAAAGCCAUUCGUAGUCCGGAUCGCAGUCUGCAACUCGACUGCGUGAAGUCGGAAUCGCUAGUAAUCGUGGAUCAGAAUGUCACGGUGAAUACGUUCCCGGGUCUU